rnacentral:rRNA from 1 species
AACGAACGCUGGCGGCAGGCUUAACACAUGCAAGUCGAACGCCCCGCAAGGGGAGUGGCAGACGGGUGAGUAACGCGUGGGAACAUACCCUUUCCUGCGGAAUAGCUCCGGGAAACUGGAAUUAAUACCGCAUACGCCCUACGGGGGAAAGAUUUAUCGGGGAAGGAUUGGCCCGCGUUGGAUUAGCUAGUUGGUGGGGUAAAGGCCUACCAAGGCGACGAUCCAUAGCUGGUCUGAGAGGAUGAUCAGCCACAUUGGGACUGAGACACGGCCCAAACUCCUACGGGAGGCAGCAGUGGGGAAUAUUGGACAAUGGGCGCAAGCCUGAUCCAGCCAUGCCGCGUGAGUGAUGAAGGCCUUAGGGUUGUAAAGCUCUUUCACCGAUGAAGAUAAUGACGGUAGUCGGAGAAGAGGCCCCGGCUAACUUCGUG